CCGCGCCGCCCGCACCGGAGACCUUCGCCUCGCCCCGCCGGUUCCUCACCCUCGGGGAGCAACAUGGCAGAUAAUCUCAGUGAUACCUUGAAGAAGCUGAAGAUAACAGCUGUUGACAAGACUGAGGAUAGUUUAGAAGGAUGCUUGGAUUGUCUGCUUCAAGCCCUGGCUCAAAAUAAUACGGAAACAAGUGAAAAAAUCCAAGCAAGUGGAAUACUUCAGCUGUUUGCAAGUCUGUUGACUCCACAGUCUUCCUGCAAAGCCAAAGUAGCUAACAUCAUAGCAGAAGUAGCCAAAAAUGAGUUUAUGCGAAUUCCAUGUGUGGAUGCUGGAUUGAUUUCACCACUGGUGCAGCUGCUAAAUAGCAAAGACCAGGAAGUGCUGCUUCAAACGGGCAGGGCUCUAGGAAACAUAUGUUACGAUAGCCAUGAGGGCAGAAGUGCAGUUGACCAAGCAGGUGGUGCACAGAUUGUAAUUGACCAUUUAAGGUCCCUGUGCAGUAUAACAGAUCCCGCCAAUGAGAAGCUCUUGACUGUCUUUUGUGGCAUGCUGAUGAACUAUAGCAAUGAGAAUGAUUCGCUUCAAGCUCAGCUUAUCAAUAUGGGUGUUAUUCCUACCUUAGUGAAAUUACUGGGCAUCCACUGCCAAAAUGCAGCUCUUACAGAAAUGUGUCUUGUUGCAUUUGGUAAUUUAGCAGAACUUGGUAAGUCUUAGUCGUGAACCACAAAUGUAAUUAACUUAUUAAUGUGCUUACAAAAGUCUUAGUCAUGAACCACAAAUGUAAUUAACUUAUUAAUGUGCUUACAAUAAAUUUUUCUGUAGAUAUUAAGAAGCUAGAAAUCCAUUUAGAUUGUAUUAAUUUUUUGAAGCAUUUGAGAUAUUUCCAUCAAUAUUUUAAAAAGUAAAUCCAAUUAGAUCUUAU
rnacentral:sRNA from 1 species